rnacentral:tRNA from 1 species
GAGGGUUUAGCUCAGUGGUAGAGCACAUGCUUGGAGUACAUGAGUUCCUGGGUUCAAUCCCCCAUGCCUCC